UACGUAGGGUGCAAGCGUUAAUCGGAAUUACUGGGCGUAAAGCGUGCGCAGGCGGUUUUGUAAGUCAGGUGUGAAAUCCCCGGGCUUAACCUGGGAACUGCAUUUGUGACUGCAAGGCUGGAGUGCGGCAGAGGGGGAUGGAAUUCCGCGUGUAGCAGUGAAAUGCGUAGAUAUGCGGAGGAACACCGAUGGCGAAGGCAAUCCCCUGGGCCUGCACUGACGCUCAUGCACGAAAGCGUGGGGAGCAAACAGG
rnacentral:rRNA from 1 species